CACGUUCUGCAGCGAGGUAAAUUAAGCGCACCUGCGGCCACACUGCAUUUGAACUGCAUCAGAAAGGGCCUAACAAGGAUGCAAUUAAGGAUUCAUAGGUGGGAAACGGAGCCCAGCCAAAGCAAGCCUGCUGACACUGCGCACUGUUGCGUGGGAGUGGACGCGCUCCAUGAGGUGUGCUGUUGCAGUGUUUGGGAAAAGGGUGAGAAACCGAAGGCCCACGCACGAAACCCAGUGGCGGCUCCGAACUCACCCACGUCCAUCAAGAGCGGAGCUACCAGUGGCCAAGUCACUGAUAAAGUCAGCCUGCCAGCAAGGGUUAGGUAAUUAAUACCACUCACCUCCCUCCUCCCUGACGCUGAUGUUUUUACCUAACCGAAGCCACUAAUCAUGCAGUAAUGAUUUCUU
rnacentral:lncRNA from 1 species